rnacentral:rRNA from 1 species
UACGAAGGGGGCUAGCGUUGUUCGGAAUUACUGGGCAUAAAGGGUGCGUAGGCGGUUUGUUAAGUCACUGGUGAAAGUUUUCGGCCCAACCGGAAAAUUGCCUGUGAUACUGGCGAACUUGAGUGCGCGAGGGGUGGGGGGAACGAGCAGUGUAGCGGUGAAAUGCGUAGAUAUUGCUCGGAAGGCCGGAGCCGAAGGGGCCCCACUGGUACGUAACUGACGCUGAGGCACGAAAGCGUGGGGAGCAAACAGG